rnacentral:rRNA from 1 species
AAUGAACGCUGGCGGUAGGCCUAACACAUGCAAGUCGAACGGCAGCACAGGAGAGCUUGCUCUCUGGGUGGCGAGUGGCGGACGGGUGAGGAAUACACCGGAAUCUACUUUUUCGUGGGGGAUAACGUAGGGAAACUGACGCUAAUACCGCAUACGACCUACGGGUGAAAGCAGGGGACCUUCGGGCCUUGCGCGAUUGAAUGAGCCGAUGUCGGAUUAGCUAGUUGGCGGGGUAAAGGCCCACCAAGGCGACGAUCCGUAGCUGGUCUGAGAGGAUGAUCAGCCACACUGGAACUGAGACACGGUCCAGACUCCUACGGGAGGCAGCAGUGGGGAAUAUUGGACAAUGGGCGCAAGCCUGAUCCAGCCAUACCGCGUGGGUGAAGAAGGCCUUCGGGUUGUAAAGCCCUUUUGUUGGGAAAGAAAUCCAGCUGGCUAAUACCCGGUUGGGAUGACGGUACCCAAAGAAUAAGCACCGGCUAACUUCGUGCCAGCAGCCGCCGUAA